rnacentral:rRNA from 1 species
GACGAACGCUGGCGGCGUGCCUAAUACAUGCAAGUCGAACGCACAGUUUAUACCGUAGCUUGCUACACCAUAGACUGUGAGUUGCGAACGGGUGAGUAACGCGUAGGUAACCUGCCUGGUAGCGGGGGAUAACUAUUGGAAACGAUAGCUAAUACCGCAUAAUAUUGAUUAUUGCAUGAUAAUUAAUUGAAAGGUGCAAUUGCACCACUACCAGAUGGACCUGCGUUGUAUUAGCUAGUAGGUGAGGUAACGGCUCACCUAGGCGACGAUACAUAGCCGACCGGAGAGGGUGAUCGGCCACACUGGGACUGAGACAAGGCCCAGAAUCCUACGGGAGGCAGCAGUAGGGAAUCUUCGGCAAUGGACGAAAGUCUGACCGAGCAACGCCGCGUGAGUGAAGAAGGUUAUCGGAUCGUAAAGCUCUGUUGUAAGAGAAGAACGGGUGUGAGAGUGGAAAGUUCACACUGUGACGGUAUCUUACCAGAAAGGGACGGCUAACUACGUG